GACGAACGCUGGCGGCGUGCUUAACACAUGCAAGUCGAACGGUAAGGCCCUUCGGGGUACACGAGUGGCGAACGGGUGAGUAACACGUGGGUGAUCUGCCCUGCACUUCGGGAUAAGCCUGGGAAACUGGGUCUAAUACCGGAUAGGACCAUUGCCUGCAUGGGUGGGGGUGGAAAGCUUUUGCGGUGUGGGAUGGGCCCGCGGCCUAUCAGCUUGUUGGUGGGGUGAUGGCCUACCAAGGCGACGACGGGUAGCCGGCCUGAGAGGGUGACCGGCCACACUGGGACUGAGAGACGGCCCAGACUCCUACGGGAGGCAGCAGUGGGGAAUAUUGCACAAUGGGCGCAAGCCUGAUGCAGCGACGCCGCGUGAGGGAUGACGGCCUUCGGGUUGUAAACCUCUUUCAGCACCGACGAAGCGCAAGUGACGGUAGGUGCAGAAGAAGGACCGGCCAACUACGUGCCAGCCGCCGCCGUAA
rnacentral:rRNA from 1 species